rnacentral:rRNA from 1 species
GAUGAACGCUGGCGGCGUGCCUAAUACAUGCAAGUCGAGCGAACAGACGAGGAGCUUGCUCCUCUGACGUUAGCGGCGGACGGGUGAGUAACACGUGCAUAACCUACCUAUAAGACUGGGAUAACUUCGGGAAACCGGAGCUACUACCGGAUAAUAUAUUGAACCGCAUGGUUCAAUAGUGCAAGACGGUUUUCCUGUCACUUAUAGAUGGAUCCGCGCCGCAUUAGCUAGUUGGUAAGGUAACGGCUUACCAAGGCGACGAUGCGUAGCCGACCUGAGAGGGUGAUCGGCCACACUGGAACUGAGACACGGUCCAGACUCCUACGGGAGGCAGCAGUAGGGAAUAUUCCGCAAUGGGCGAAAGCCUGACGGAGCCACGCCGCGUGAGUGAUGAAGGUCUUCGGAUCGUAAAACUCUGUUAUUAGGGAAGAACAAAUGUGUAAGUAACUCUGCACGUCUUGACGGUACCUAAUGAGAAAGCAACGGCUAACUACGUG